rnacentral:rRNA from 1 species
ACUCCUACGGGAGGCAGCAGUGGGGAAUAUUGCACAAUGGGGGAAACCCUGAUGCAGCCAUGCCGCGUGUGUGAAGAAGGCCUUCGGGUUGUAAAGCACUUUCAGCGAGGAGGAAAGGGUGUGUGCUAAUACCAUACAUCUGUGACGUUACUCGCAGAAGAAGCACCGGCUAACUCCGUGCCAGCAGCCGCGGUAAUACGUAGGGUGCGAGCGUUGUCCGGAAUUACUGGGCGUAAAGAGCUCGUAGGUGGUUUGUCGCGUUGUCCGUGAAAUCCCACGGCUUAACUGUGGGCGUGCGGGCGAUACGGGCAGACUGGAGUACUGCAGGGGAGACUGGAAUUCCUGGUGUAGCGGUGGAAUGCGCAGAUAUCAGGAGGAACACCGGUGGCGAAGGCGGGUCUCUGGGCAGUAACUGACGCUGAGGAGCGAAAGCGUGGGGAGCGAACAGGAUUAGAUACCCUGGUAGGCGUAGU